GCCAGGCAUGGUGGCGCACACCUGUAAUCCCAACGGCUUGGGAGGCUGAGGCAGGAGGAUCGUGAGUUCAAGCCGGCCUCACUGGUGAGGCUCUGAGCAAUUCAAUGAGACCCUGUCUCUA
rnacentral:sRNA from 1 species